UACAGAGGUCCCAGGCGUUGUUCGGAUUCACUGGGCGUAAAGGGUGCGUAGGUGGUAAGGCAAGUCAGGUGUGAAAUCUCCGGGCUCAACCCGGAAAUGGCAUUCGAAACUACCUUGCUAGAGGAUUUGAGGGGGGACUGGAAUACUUGGUGUAGCAGUGAAAUGCGUAGAUAUCAAGUGGAACACCAGUGGCGAAGGCGAGUCCCUGGAAAAUUCCUGACACUGAGGCACGAAAGCUAGGGGAGCAAACAGG
rnacentral:rRNA from 1 species